rnacentral:rRNA from 1 species
AGAGAUAUUUGAACUUGGAAUUGCUAGUAAAUUUUAUUAAAUAAGUAGAAUUGAAUGUGUCCCUGUUCUUUGUACACACCGCCCGUCGCUAUCUAAGAUGAUAUGUGUUGUGAAAUUAGUGAAAACUACUUAAACAAUAUGUAUUAGAUCUGAUAUAAGUCGUAACAUGGUUGCUG